rnacentral:lncRNA from 1 species
CUCGCACUCAGUAACCAACGACGACGAAUCAUCUCACCGGCGCUUCUCGCACAGGCGCACCGACUUCCGGCGAUGGCGAUAAUCAUUUACCACGACAUAAUGCAUACUCUGUUUUACACUCUUCGCCGGCGAUCCACUUCAUCGAUUUAAAUGUUAUCAUAUUCGUCUUUUUUUCUAAUAAAAUCUUUCAUUCUCCUUCUUCUAACCCUAAAAUCGCCUUUACCGACCGAAAUGACGGCGUUUCCCAUACCGGAUUUCAUCGGAUUUCGAUAAAACCUUUAACCACACCGGAUUUCUCAUGUUUUACAGGUAUUAUUUCCAUCCAUCUCACUCUUGAUUAGUUUAUUGAUGAUUUCUGUUACAGGAAGAACCAUACUAAUCGGUAGUUUUUUUUUAAAAUCUAGGUAGUUAAAUCUGGUUCAAUGGAAUCGAUCCGGCGAGCGAGCUGAUGAUUUCCAUCACAGCAGAUUUGAUGAAUCAGGUUUCUAAUCCCAUCAACCCAUUUUUGCUUAUGCUUCUCAUUCUCACAUUCGAACUCUAUGAUCCCCUGUGAAGUGCUGACCCCAAAGUGUAUUCCUCCUCCACCGGAACAACUUCCUCUCCCCGGCCAGGCCGGAAUGUCCUCGUACACGCCGUAGACAAUGCACGAUUUUCGCUUCGAGAAAGCUCCACCGAUGUCGAUGUGCUUGCUU